rnacentral:rRNA from 1 species
GGCUCAGAUUGAACGCUGGCGGCAUGCUUUACACAUGCCAAGUCGAACGGUAACAGGCCUUCGGGCGCUGGACGAGUGGCGAACGGGUGAGUAACGCAUCGGAACGUGCCCAGUCGUGGGGGAUAACGCAGCGAAAGCUGUGCUAAUACCGCAUACGAUCUAUGGAUGAAAGCGGGGGACCGUAAGGCCUCGCGCGAUUGGAGCGGCCGAUGUCAGAUUAGCUAGUUGGUGGGGUAAAGGCCCACCAAGGCGACGAUCUGUAGCUGGUCUGAGAGGAUGAUCAGCCACACUGGAACUGAGACACGGUCCAGACUCCUACGGGAGGCAGCAGUGGGGAAUAUUGGACAAUGGGCGCAAGCCUGAUCCAGCCAUGCCGCGUGUGUGAAGAAGGCCUUCGGGUUGUAAAGCACUUUUGUUGGGAAAGAAAUCCUGUCGGUUAAUACCCGGCGGGGCUGACGGUACCCAAAGAAUAAGCACCGGCUAACUUCGUG